GACGAACGCUGGCGGCGUGCUUAACACAUGCAAGUCGAACGGAAAGGCCCUGCUUUUGUGGGGUGCUCGAUUGGCGAACGGGUGAGUAACACGCGAGUAACCUGCCCUUGACUUUGGGAUAACUUCAGGAAACUGGGGCUAAUACCGGAUAGGAGCUCCUGCUGCAUGGUGGGGGUUGGAAAGUUUCGGCGGUUGGGGAUGGACUCGCGGCUUAUCAGCUUGUUGGUGGGGUAGUGGCUUACCAAGGCUUUGACGGGUAGCCGGCCUGAGAGGGUGACCGGCGACAUUGGGACUGAGGUACGGCCCAGAAUCCUACGGGAGGCAGCAGUGGGGAAUAUGGCACAAUGGGCGGAAGCCUGAUGCAGCAACGCCGCGUGCGGGAUGACGGCCUUCGGGUGGUAAACAGCUGUCGCCUGUGACGAAGCGGGAGUGACGGUAAUGGGUAAAGAAGCACCGGCUAACUACGUG
rnacentral:rRNA from 1 species